GUAGGCCCGGGCUGGAGCCGUUCCCCAGGACCCCACAGUGAGCAUCCAAAGGACACUGAGGCGGUCUGUUCCUGCCUGGCUGCUGCUGGACGCCGAUGAAAGGAAGCUGAAAACCAGUCUUGGCCACCGUGACGAAUUCCAGCCCCAGAGGCCAGACUCAGGCCACACGGCUGUCCUGAGUGUUUACUGCCCUGCCUUGGAGGCCUGGGCACAAAGAGAUCAUUCCUGGAUGCGGUGGAAACCACUGAUGUGGGUGUUGGGAGACACGGGUGAGACCCUGGUGGAUGGGAAAAGGUGUGACACAUAGUACUGAUGCCAGCAAGGGCCUGCUUUGCUCUUGUGGGGCUAAAACGACUUCGUCCUGGAUGCCAGGGCUCCUGUCCCUGCUCAGUCGGCCAGGCGUGCAGAGGGAGCUGCUGAGACAGGUGAUGCUGUCCCCCCAAUGCAGAUGGACAGACAGACGUGCAGAGUUCAGCUUGUUUGACCAGAGUCAGCCCUGCUACUUUCUGGGAGGGGCUCCCAGUGAAGGAGUCCUGCCCUCUCCAGCUAGAAGCGGCAGAAUCUCUUUCCUCUCUGGCAACACCAGCUCCUGAGCCAGACUGAAGACCCCAUCUCCAUGUGUCUCUACAAGCCUCCUGAAGGUUAAAUCUGGGGGCUUCUGGCAGAAUGCAACUCCAAAGAAUGCCAGCAAGCCAUACUGCUUGAGAGGAAACGAAAAUAUAACCAGACGAGUCUUCCACAUCCUGCAAGGACUUGACCCUAAGCUCUGGCUCACCCCACGUGCCCAGGAGAGGCCGGAGACCCGGGCGCCCAUC
rnacentral:lncRNA from 1 species